rnacentral:rRNA from 1 species
GACGAACGCUGGCGGCGUGCUUAACACAUGCAAGUCGAACGGAAAGGCCCUGCUUUUGUGGGGUGCUCGAGUGGCUAACGGGUGAGUAACACGUGAUUAACCUUCCCUUGACUUUGGGAUAACUUCAGGAAACUGGGGCUAAUACCGGAUAGGAGCUCCUGCUGCAUGGUGGGGGUUGGAAAGUUUCGGCGGUUGGGGAUGGACUCGCGGCUUAUCAGCUUGUUGGUGGGGUAGUGGCUUACCAAGGCUUUGACGGGUAGCCGGCCUGAGAGGGUGACCGGCCACAUUGGGACUGAGAUACGGCCCAGACUCCUACGGGAGGCAGCAGUGGGGAAUAUUGCACAAUGGGCGGAAGCCUGAUGCAGCAACGCAGAGUGCGGGAUGACGGACUUCGGGUUGUAAACCGCUGUCGCCUGUGAAGAAGAGUGAGUGACGGUAAUGGGUAAAGAAGCACCGGCUAACUACGUG